rnacentral:tRNA from 1 species
UGUCCAGGGGCGGGAAUCGAACCCACAACCUUCUGCUUACCGGGCAGAUUCCCGCCCCUGGAC